CCUACGGGUGGCAGCAGUGGGGAAUAUUGCGCAAUGGGGGCAACCCUGACGCAGCCAUGCCGCGUGAAUGAAGAAGGCCUUCGGGUUGUAAAGCUCUUUCGGUAGCGAGGAUGGCAUUUAGUUUAAUAAACUAAGUGAUUGACGUUAACUACAGAAGAAGCACCGGCUAACUCCGUGCCAGCAGCCGCGGUAAUACGGAGGGUGCGAGCGUUAAUCGGAAUAACUGGGCGUAAAGGGCACGCAGGCGGUGAGUUAAGUGAGGUGUGAAAGCCCCGGGCUUAACCUGGGAAUUGCAUUUCAUACUGGGUCGCUAGAGUACUUUAGGGAGGAGUAGAAUUCCACGUGUAGCGGUGAAAUGCGUAGAGAUGUGGAGGAAUACCGAAGGCGAAGGCAGCCCCUUGGGAAUGUACUGACGCUCAUGUGCGAAAGCGUGGGGAGCGAACAGGAUUAGAUACCCCGGUAGUC
rnacentral:rRNA from 1 species